AAAACUGCAAUAAGUGCAGUAAGUCCCCUAAUUCCACUUUUGGAUGGUUCUCCAAUCAAGGCUAGGAUUUUCACUCAAACAGUUGCAUUUUUAACUUUCACAAAAUGCUUCCAAUUUUACAAAACAACCCAGCAUGGAAGAUGGAAGAACUGCAUUCCUACCCACCGAUACAUAUGUCUGGAGGAGGAGCCGUGUGAGGUAGAAAAUCACCAGUUCUUCCAGAGUUGUGUGUGCAACUUUAUGAUCACCAAGCCCACUAAUGGAAAAAGAAGCGAUAGAAUUAUAAAAAUUAAAAUGGAGAGGAUUGGCAUAAGAGCUGGAGGUCCUACUCUGCUCAUCAUGCCUCCGCCACCAACUUGGCAAGUCUCAAUUUUCUUAUCUCCAAAACAAGAUUAGAACACAGUCCUUCAGUUUUCAAUUCUGAUUCUUUCCCCAAAAUUAAGUGCCAACCAACAUAACAUGUCUAAAGAUGGUGUGAUGGAGGUAAAGAGGUCAAAUGAUACAAUUCAGUGGCAAUCAAUAAAUAAAUCCAUAGGAAAUAUAACUUGCA
rnacentral:lncRNA from 1 species